CGCGAAGAAGUACAACAAAGGGCCAACGGGGAGGUCCAACGGUCCGACCCCAGCCGGACUCGAGCUCACUCGGUUGCAGGCGUUAGGCUCCCAGCGGCUCUCAGCCGUUAAGUGGAGAAUGUUCAGGACUGUCGAGGCGCGCUCCGCACCUGGCCUGAAAGCGGGAGAUUUGGCAACCAGUGCGCGUGGGUGCGCCGGCCCUUGCAGCUGGGGACUCUGGAGGCAGACCUUGCCCAAAGCCAGAGGCAGGAACUCCCCAGAUCCUCCCAGGGUAGCAUGGGAGGAUGCCGCCUCCUCCAGGAAGCUCUCUAGCGCUUUUCCGAGUCCUGGAGCCAGGCGGGACUUCUCUGUGGUCGCCUAGAAGGAGACCAACAAUUGUCAGCACAGCAAAACUGGGCAUUUCUUUUCUUACUGAGCUUUGCAGCUACCUACACAGUUGUGUGUGGCAUCUCCUCCUGGGUGCAAGGACAUGAGAUGACAUCAGCUACGAGCCUAUAUCCUUCAACCCUUGGAAGCCACUGAUCUGCUUUCUGUUUCUAUGGAUCCCCUGUUCUGGACAUUUC
rnacentral:lncRNA from 1 species